rnacentral:rRNA from 1 species
GCUCAGGAUGAACGCUAGCGGGAGGCCUAACACAUGCAAGCCGAGCGGUAUUUGUUCUUCGGAACAGAGAGAGCGGCGUACGGGUGCGGAACACGUGUGCAACCUGCCUUUAUCAGGGGGAUAGCCUUUCGAAAGGAAGAUUAAUACCCCAUAAUAUAUUUUACGGCAUCGUGAAAUAUUGAAAACUCCGGUGGAUAGAGAUGGGCACGCGCAAGAUUAGAUAGUUGGUAGGGUAACGGCCUACCAAGUCGAUGAUCUUUAGGGGGCCUGAGAGGGUGAUCCCCCACACUGGUACUGAGACACGGACCAGACUCCUACGGGAGGCAGCAGUGAGGAAUAUUGGACAAUGGGUGAGAGCCUGAUCCAGCCAUCCCGCGUGAAGGACGACGGCCCUAUGGGUUGUAAACUUCUUUUGUAUAGGGAUAAACCUUUCCACGUGUGGAAAGCUGAAGGUACUAUACGAAUAAGCACCGGCUAACUCCGUGCCAGCAGCCGCGGUAAUACGGAGGGUGCAAGCGUUAUCCGGAUUUAUUGGGUUUAAAGGGUCCGUAGGCGGAUCUGUAAGUCAGUGGUGAAAUCUCAUAGCUUAACUAUGAAACUGCCAUUGAUACUGCAGGUCUUGAGUAAGGUAGAAGUAGCUGGAAUAAGUAGUGUAGCGGUGAAAUGCAUAGAUAUUACUUAGAACACCAAUUG